UACGUAGGGUGCGAGCGUUGUCCGGAAUUAUUGGGCGUAAAGAGCUCGUAGGCGGUGUGUCACGUCGGCCGUGAAAACCUGCAGCUUAACUGUGGGCGUGCGGUCGAUACGGGCAUCACUGGAGUUCGGCAGGGGAGACUGGAAUUCCUGGUGUAGCGGUGAAAUGCGCAGAUAUCAGGAGGAACACCGGUGGCGAAGGCGGGUCUCUGGGCCGAUACUGACGCUGGAGGAG
rnacentral:rRNA from 1 species